rnacentral:rRNA from 1 species
CAGCAGCCGCGGUAAUACGAAGGGGGCUAGCGUUGCUCGGAAUUACUGGGCGUAAAGGGAGCGUAGGCGGAUCGUUUAGUCAGGGGUGAAAUCCCGGGGCUCAACCUCGGAACUGCCUUUGAUACUGGCGAUCUUGAGUUUGGGAGAGGUGUGUGGAACUCCGAGUGUAGAGGUGAAAUUCGUAGAUAUUCGGAAGAACACCAGUGGCGAAGGCGACUCACUGGCCCAUUACUGACGCUGAGGCUCGAAAGCGUGGGGAGCAAACAGGAUUAGAGACCCCAGUAGUCCCUGUCUCUUAUAC